UACGUAGGGUGCAAGCGUUGUCCGGAUUUAUUGGGCGUAAAGAGCUCGUAGGCGGUUUGUUGCGUCGGCUGUGAAAACCUGAGGCUCAACCUCAGGCCUGCAGUCGAUACGAGCAGACUAGAGUGUUGCAGGGGAGACUGGAAUUCCUGGUGUAGCGGUGAAAUGCGCAGAUAUCAGGAGGAACACCGGUGGCGAAGGCGGGUCUCUGGGCAACAACUGACGCUGAGGAGCGAAAGCGUGGGGAGCGAACAGG
rnacentral:rRNA from 1 species